rnacentral:rRNA from 1 species
AUGCCGGAUGCUCCAGUUGAUCGCAUGGUCUUCUGGGAAAGCUUUCGCGGUAUGGGAUGGGGUCGCGUCCUAUCAGCUUGACGGCGGGGUAACGGCCCACCGUGGCUUCGACGGGUAGCCGGCCUGAGAGGGCGACCGGCCACAUUGGGACUGAGAUACGGCCCAGACUCCUACGGGAGGCAGCAGUGGGGAAUAUUGCACAAUGGGCGCAAGCCUGAUGCAGCGACGCCGCGUGAGGGAUGGAGGCCUUCGGGUUGUAAACCUCUUUUAUCGGGGAGCAAGCGAGAGUGAGUUUACCCGUUGAAUAAGCACCGGCUAACUACGUGCCAGCAGCCGCGGUAAUACGUAGGGUGCAAGCGUUAUCCGGAAUUAUUGGGCGUAAAGGGCUCGUAGGCGGUUCGUCGCGUCCGGUGUGAAAGUCCAUCGCUUAACGGUGGAUCCGCGCCGGGUACGGGCGGGCUUGAGUGCGGUAGGGGAGACUGGAAUUCCCGGUGUAACGGUGGAAUGUGUAGAUAUCGGGA